rnacentral:tRNA from 1 species
CAGGUUAUUCUUAAAGUUAAGGUUUUCAUUUACACUGAAAUUUUUGUCGUGCAAUUCGAUUUAAUCUGA